AGUGAACGCUGGCGGUAUGCCUAACACAUGCAAGUCGAACGGCAGCACAGUAAGAGCUUGCUCUUACGGGUGGCGAGUGGCGGACGGGUGGGGAAUACAUCGGAAUCUACUUUUUCGUGGGGGAUAACGUAGGGAAACUUACGCUAAUACCGCAUACGACCUACGGGUGAAAGCAGGGGAUCUUCGGACCUUGCGCGAUUGAAUGAGCCGAUGUCGGAUUAGCUAGUUGGCGGGGUAAAGGCCCACCAAGGCGACGAUCCGUAGCUGGUCUGAGAGGAUGAUCGGCCACACUGGCAGUGAGACACGGUCCACACUCCUACGGGAGGCAGCAGUGGGGAAUAUUGGACAAUGGGCGCAAGCCUGAUCCAGCCAUACCGCGUGGGUGAAGAAGGCCUUCGGGUUGUAAAGCCCUUUUGUUGGGAAAGAAAAGCAGCAGGUUAAUACGCCGCUGUUCUGACGGUACCUAAAGAAUAAGCACCGGCUAACUUCGUG
rnacentral:rRNA from 1 species